GCUGGGCAUGGUGGUGCAUGCCUGUAAUUCCAAAGGCUUGGAAGGCUGAGGCAGGAGGAUAGAGAGUUCAAAGCCAGCCUCAGCAAAAGCGAGGCACUAAGACAACUCACUGAGAUCCUGUCUUUA
rnacentral:sRNA from 1 species